AACGAACGCUGGCGGCAGGCCUAACACAUGCAAGUCGAACGCUGUAGCAAUACAGAGUGGCAGACGGGUGAGUAACGCGUGGGAACAUGCCCUUCGGUUCGGAAUAACUCAGGGAAACUUGAGCUAAUACCGGAUACGCCCUUAGGGGGAAAGAUUUAUUGCCGAAGGAUUGGCCCGCGUCCGAUUAGCUAGUUGGUGAGGUAACGGCUCACCAAGGCGACGAUCGGUAGCUGGUCUGAGAGGAUGAUCAGCCACACUGGGACUGAGACACGGCCCAGACUCCUACGGGAGGCAGCAGUGGGGAAUAUUGGACAAUGGGCGCAAGCCUGAUCCAGCCAUGCCGCGUGAGUGAUGAAGGCCCUAGGGUUGUAAAGCUCUUUCGCCAGGGACGAUAAUGACGGUACCUGGAUAAGAAGCCCCGGCUAACUUCGUGCCAGCCGCCGCAGUAACAC
rnacentral:rRNA from 1 species